UUUACUCGGGUAAUGAAUAACGCUGAGCCAUGUAGCCUGGGGUUUGGUGUUACUGCGUCGAUUUUGUGGGGUUUCGUUUUAUUUUGGAGGGUUGCUUGUUUGUUUGUUUUUAUGAGUUGGGGUUUUUUUUUUGGUUUUUUUUUUUUUUUUUGGGGGGGGGGAGGGUUGGAAGGCUACACAGAAGAUUGAAAAUGCAGAAUUACAAAGCAGCGCGUCUCAUACCAUAAAUUGUCCUGAGGCCAAGCGAGGAAAUAGCAAUAACAGCUGUCUGACAAAGGUGCCAGGACAGACCACAGCAAAGCUGGGCACCACAAUACUCAAGUUAUUCACACAUGCUGAUACAAUACUGAGAUGCUCGGUUCAGAGGAAGGAUAAAUUCAAAUGCCGAUGAAGUUUUUUGAAGGGGGUGGAAGGCUACACAGAACAUUAAAAAUGCAAGAUUGAAAAUGUAAACUUAGAAAGCAGUGCAUCUCAUACUUCAUCCAUAAUUAAAUAAAUUUUUUAAUACUCUUGAUGUUUAGGAGAAACAGAGGUCUGCAUGUUGAUAGCACUUCACCAUAAAUUAUUUUCUCUGAGAACAUGAAAGGUAACUUCUUUUCUAUCUUCUGGUUUCUGUGGCUCACACCACCAUUAAGCACUAAUAUGUCAAACUGAAAACUAAUGCAUAGCACCAGUAAAAUCAAAUGUUGCUUUUUCCAUGUUUUUCGGUGUCCCAGUGGCUUUUCCCUUUGUGAUAAAUUGAGUUAGUAAUUUGAUUGCAUGUCAUCUCUUUGUCUUUUAAUAAGAAGCUGUAAUUCUAAUUAGCUGUAUGUGUGUGUGAGUUUGUGUGUGUACAAAAGCACAUAAACCCAAACAGUGUGCUAUUCCAAAAUUAUAUUGGCAGAAUUAGGGCCUUGUGUAUACUGUAUGUAAGAAUAAAUUUAAUCAAGAUUUUGCUACAGAUGAUGUGGGAGAACAUCUGUUUUCCUAAUGAUAUAGAUGAGGCAAUCUGCGACCCUGCCCAUGGAAGUUCUGGCUCGUCUUCUUCUAGUCUCAGCUCUUCUCAAUCUGAAAUUCAGAGCAAUCUCCUGUUUCUUGAAUUGGAAUGGGUCUGAGGGCUGUUAUUUUGUAAAUAACAACAUAUUUUCUUGUAUCUUUCUUUAAUGACUCUCGUAUUGGCCAGUCUUUAGACUAGAGAAUUCUAUUAACUGGUCCUGUGCAGGGAUAUAUGUCAUGUUUUGUGUCCUGUUUGGCAUGGAUAUAUGAAAUACUAGAUAAAAGAUAUCUGAUUAUGUAGAUUUCCACUCCUUUUAUGUUUAAGGUAUGUCUGUCUUUGAAUCGGUUUCACAAUCUAUUUGGAGUCCCACUCUGUGUGUGCUAGAUGAAGUAGAUUUUUUUUCCUCACGUGGGAAAUGGAUAGGUUUCCCAACAGCUUUGUACUUAGAGACUGUGUGUUUAACUAGGUGACAUAUCUGUCCUGUAAUUACAUCCGUUUUCCCCACCUAGGAAAAAGAAUUGAAGGAGUCAUAUAUCUCUAUUUGUUUUGAAAUGCAAGCUCCUCAAAUUGAUGGGCAGGAGCUCAACCAGAGUGAUUGUAGUUAUCCACUGAGUAAACUCAAACAGCAGCCUGGCUCUGCCCAUCUCUGUACAUAAUGCUCUGGAUGAAAUGUGAAAAUUAGUUCUAGUUCCCAAGUCUAGGUGCUGAGACCACCCAUAGCCUUCUCAGUAUCAGAAAGAGUCCUGUGCACGUGUCUUCUGUCUCCUGAUCCUUUGGUUAUCCAAAGAGGUGUUCAGUGGGAUGCUUGGUGGAUCAACAUCUUGAGCAUGCAAUGAUGUUCAUCCCAAAGAGCCUCCAUACACCCACGGCAGAACUCAAACAGUACUAUGAGAAUACUGAGGGUCUAGCUGACACUACAUAAACACUUCCAAAGAGUUUAUGGACCAAACAUAAUAAUAAGGAUAGUUCUUAAACAAAGUGUUUUGUAGAAAUGCUGAACUUUGGUAAAUAAACCUUGAGCUGGAAAGUGGAUCUAGACUUCAGUUUAUGUAUGUGUGGUUUUAACUCUAUUAUUAAGUCAAUUUAUCUGAAGGCAUGUAUACCUUUGAAAAAUAAAA